rnacentral:lncRNA from 1 species
GCUCCGCAGGGGGCAGCUUUAUACGACCGCAGAGGUCGAACCCUGAACGGUUGGGGCUAGUAUGGACACAACAUUCAAACUGAAUACAGCUCUGAAUUUGGAUUGUGAUUAAAUAGUUGACACAGCAUAGGUUUCUGACACAGAAUGAAUGUGGUCUAAUGAAUUUAAAAUGUUUUUUUUUUUUGCUUUUGAGCAAUUCACUAUGCUGUUGAAUAUUAAUCCUUUGAUAUUUGAAGAAAUUUUCUUUUUCAUUUUUGAAAUCUGAAAUAAGAAAAAUUGAACCCCACCAAUUUUUUUUCACCUCCCCCUUUCCCUUAUUCCAAAAAUGAUCUCAAUUCAAAUUUCUAAUGGAGUUUUCAACAAUAACUACUCAUUUAAAUACAUCAUAAAAUAUAAAAUGUCAUACAGUCAUGAUUUAAGUUGAUUUAACUACUAUUCUGGACAAAGAAAGAUAACUCCAAUGCAACAUUUUAUAUUGGCAAAUUUCCAAUGAAGUUCAUUAAACUAAAGUUUUUGGCAAAUUUCCAAUGGAAUUUAUUAAUAACAAAGUUUUUGGCAAAUUUCCAAUAUACAUAAUUUAAGAGCAGUUUAGGUGAGCUAUUAAAAUGAGUUUCAAUUACCAAUCUUACACUGCUUU